rnacentral:lncRNA from 1 species
GCUCUCCGACGGCGUCCUUCCCGACCGGGACGCACUCUCCUUCCCGCCUGUGAGGACCGCGUCGCUUUGUCCGAAAGACAGUGUGGCCUGCUCGAGUUGCGUCGGAGCAUCUGGCUUUGGGGUGGCCCUGGGUGGGACUGCCUGUUUGGAUUACCGCGCAGACCUUGGCGCCGCCCCCACACCUGCUGCCAGAAGUUGGGUCGAACAGAUUGACCGAGAUGAAGCUUAUUUCUCGUAGAAACAUCUUUCAAGCACCAUUUUCCCUCGAAAAUAUAUCAGACAUUGGAUAUGAGUUGUAAUCUACUGAGAUUUAAUAGAAAACUUGCCGCGCCCUCGCCCUGACCUGGGUGCGUCCCACCUGCCAUCCCCAUCCCUUUGCCCAGAACAUAGGACUUCGUGUUAGGGUUUCCUUGUGCCUUGUCUUGCAGUCCGUACUUUGAGGCUGAUUUCCAGGUACACUGCUCUGAACAGCUGGGUUUAGGAUGGGUGGCAUGGGAUAAAGCCUUUUUUUGUAAGGCAGCACUAGUUGCAACAGUCAAACUGUACUUUGCCGUGUAGACCUAGGAGAGUAUGUAACACUAUUGUAGUUUUGUAAAUUAGCUGAGGACUGGAUCUUGGGAAGUUGAAUAAAGAUCAUGCGCCCGGCCCCUCAUUAUUUUUUUUAAGCGCACUUUUCACAUUUCAGUUACUUUUUCCCUUUAAAUAACAUCUUUAUUGAGAUAAAAUUCACAUACCAUACGAUUCACCCAUUUGACGUGCACAAUUUCGGCCAGUCGUGGUGGCUCACGUUUGUAAUCCCCACACUUUGGGAGUGUGAAAGGAAGAUCCCUUGAGCUCAGUUCAAGGAGACCAGCCUGAGCAACCAAAGUGAUACCCGGCGUCUACAAAAAAUAAAAUUAUCCGGAUAUGGUGGCAUAUACCACAUAUACUUGUAUAGCUGGGAUUACAGGCGCUUGCCACCACACCUGGCUAAUUUUUGUAUUUUUAGUAGAGACGGGGUUUCACCGUGUUGGUCAGGCUGGUCUCGAACUCCUGACCUCGCGAUCUGUCCACCUCAGCCUCCCAGAGUGCUGGGAUUACAGGCGUGAGCCACUGCUCCUAGCCCUUUUCAUCUUUUUGUUUGUUUGUUUGUUUGAGACGGAGUCUUGCUCUGUUGCCCAGGCUGGAGUGCAGUGGUGCAAUCUUGGCUCACUGCAACCUCCACCUCCCCGGUUCAAGCCUUUCUCAGCCUCCCAAGUAGCUGGGACUACAGCCGCGUGCCACCACGCCCGGCUAAUUCUUUUGUAUUUUUAGUAGAGACGGGCUUUUACUGUGUUAGCCAGGAUGGUCUGGAUCUCCUGACCUCGUGAUCGAC